rnacentral:lncRNA from 1 species
GAGAGCGGGAAGGAGAAAAGAAGAGAGAAAAGAAGGUUCGAGAAAGAGAGAGAGGCGAGUCGGAGCAGAGAGGAGGGAAAAGGGAGAGAGAGCUUGAUAUAUAUAUAUAUCAUGUUUUUUAAUAAAUAAUAAAUUUAUUGAGACUUCACUCAACUUAAUAAUUAUAAUUACAGGGGUCAAAAAAAAUAAAGGAGAGAGAGCUUGACAAUUAUUAGAGAAAAAUUAAGAAGGAGAUAGCUGGACAAGUCUCAACUUGCUUUGCUGAGAUGAAAAGUUUGUAAUUUUAUAAAACUUUGCAAUCAAUUAAGACUUUAUAAGUGUUUCCAAGAAAUGAACUACAGCUCUUUGUUAUUUUUUGACACCACCAAUAUACUUGUGAGCUAAUAAUUAGUUUUAUUAUAUUAUUAGGUAAAUAUUUUAUUAUUGAUUUAACUAAAUUAAAAAAAUUAUAUAUUGUAGUAACUGGAAAAAAAAAAAGGGAAAAAGUGGGGGGAAACGACGUCGUUUUGAGGAAGCAGGUGAGAUAAAUAGGGGACGGGAAAGAAAAAAAGAGGGAAGAGAAGAAAAAAAAAAGGGAAAAAAAAUAGAAAAACAGAGAAGGAAGAGAGCAGGAAGGAGAAAAGAAGGUUCGAGAAAGAGAGAGGGUAGUCGGAGCAGAGAGGAGGGAGAAGGGAGAGAGAGCUUGACAUAUAUAUAUCAUGUUUUUUAAUAAAUAAUAAAUUUAUUGAGACGUUACUCAACUUAAUAAUUAUAAUUACAGGGAUAAAAAAAAAUAAAGGAGAGAGAGCUUGACAAUUAUUAGAGAAAAAUUAAGAAGGAGAUAGCUAGACAAGUCUCAACUUGCUUUGCUGAGAUGAAAGGUUUGUAAUUUUAUAAAACUUUGCAAUCAAUUAAGACUUUACAAGUGUUUCCAAGAAAUGAACUAUAGCUCUUUGUUGUUUCUUGACACCACCAGUAUACUUGUGAGCUAAUAAUUAGUUUUAUUAUAUUAUUAGGUAAAUAUUUUAUUAUUGGUUUAACUAAAUUAAAAAAAUUAUAUAUUGUAGUAACUGGGAAAAAAAAGGGGGGAAAGUGGGGGGAAACAACGUCGUUUUGAAAGGGGGUAAACAACUUGUUUUGAGGAAGUAGGUGAGAUAAAUAGGGGACGAGAAAGAAAAAAAGAGGGAAGAGAAGAAAAAAAAGGGAAAGAAAAUAGAAAAACAGAGAAGGAGGAGAGCAGGAAGGAGAAAAUAAGGUUCGAGAAAGAGAGAGGGGAGUCGGAGCGGAGAGGAGCAAGAAGGGAGAGAGAGCUUGACAUAUAUAUAUCAUGUUUUUUAAUAAAUAAUAAAUUUAUUGAGACGUCACUCAACUUAAUAAUUAUAAUUACAGGGAUAAAAAAAAUAAAGGAGAGAGAGCUUGACAAUUAUUAGAGAAAAAUUAAGAAGGAGAUAGCUAGACAAGUCUCAACUUGCUUUGCUGAGAUGAAAGGUUUGUAAUUUUAUAAAACUUUGCAAUCAAUUAAGACUUUACAAGUGUUUCCAAUAAAUAAACUACAGCUCUUUGUUAUUUCUUGACACCACCAAUAUACUUGUGAGCUAAUAAUAAGUUUUAUUAUAUUAUUAGGUAAAUAUUUUAUUAUUGGUUUAACUAAAUUAAAAAAAUUAUAUAUUGUAGUAACUGGAAAAAAAAGGGGGGGGGGAAUGGGAAAUGAUGUCGUUUUGAAAGGGGAAAAACGACGUCAUUUUGAGGAAACAGGUGAGAUAAAUAGGAGAUGGGAAAAAAAAAGAAAGAGGGAAGAGAAGAAAAAAAAAGGAAAGAAAAGAGAAAAACAGAGAAGGAAGAGAGCGAAAAGGAGAAAAGAAGGUUCGAGAAAGAGAGAGAGGGGAGUCGGAGCGGAGAGGAGCGAGAAGGGAGAGAAAAGAAGGAAGUGGACGGUGACAGUGCGAUCGGCGGGAGGAAAGAAGAUGAAAAUGAGAGGUACGGUAAAAAUUUUGAUUGUGUAGAUGCUGUGUGAUUUUGAAAUUUUGGUUGUAGGUUGAGGAAUCCAGGUAGUUAGUAUGUAGUGUGGUGGAACUGAGAAGUGGAGGUAGGUGGUGUAGAGUAUGGGUUGAACGGCGGAGACAUUCACGGAGGAGGCCGUGGGAAGGGAGAGGAUGGCUACGUUGGGGUGUACGAAAGAUCCGUGGGAGAGAGUGGAGGUUGUGUGAGGCGAGUGUGAUCACAUAGUGAAGGUCACUGGGAGAGAGAGUGAGUGAGGAAGU